rnacentral:rRNA from 1 species
ACGAUCACACCAGCACUAAUGCACCGGAUCCCAUCAGAACUCCGCAGU